CGGGGUAUAGCGCAGCUUGGUAGCGCGCUUCGUUCGGGACGAAGAGGCCGGGGGUUCAAAUCCCCCUACCCCGACAA
rnacentral:tRNA from 7 species